rnacentral:rRNA from 1 species
GGAGGCUACCGCUAUUGGAGUUCGAUUAAGCCAUGCGAGUCGAGAGUCUUAGGGACUCGGCGUACCGCUCAGUAACACGUGGGUAACCUGCCCUAUGCUGGGGAAUAACCUCGGGAAACUGAGAAUAAUACCCCAUAGUCCACCAUGCCUGGAACGGUUGGUGGAUCAAAGCUCCGGCGGCAUAGGAUGGGCCUGCGGCGUAUCAGGUUGUAGGGGGUGUAACGUACCCUCUAGCCAUCAACGCGUACGGGUGUUGGGAGACAUAGCCCGGAGAUGGAUUCUGAGACACGAAUCCAGACCCUACGGGGUGCAGCAGGCGCGAAAACUUGGCAAUGCGAGAAAUCGUGACCAGGGAACUCCAAGUGGCUGGGGUAAGACCCAGUCUUUUCUUGACUCUUAAACGGUCUUGGAAUAAGGGGUGGGUAAGGACGGUGC